rnacentral:rRNA from 1 species
UACGUAGGUGGCGAGCGUUGUCCGGAAUUAUUGGGCGUGAAGAGCGCGUAGGCGGCUUGCCAGGUCCGACGUGAAACCCCGGGGCUCAACUCCGGACGUGCAUCGGAAACCGGCUUGCUAGAGUCUGGGAGAGGGGAGUGGAAUUCCUGGUGUAGCGGUGAAAUGCGCAGAUAUCAGGAGGAACACCGGUAGCGAAGGCUGCUCCCUGGAACAGUACUGACGCUGAGGCGCGAAAGCUAGGGGAGCGAACAGGAUUAGAUACCCUGGUAGUCCUAGCCGUAAACGAUGGACACUAGGUGUCGGGAGUGUCGACUCUCCCGGUGCCGAAGCUAACGCAUUAAGUGUCCCGCCUGGGGAGUACGGCCGCAAGGCUAAA